rnacentral:rRNA from 1 species
GAGCGAGAGUAAUGGUGUGCUUGCACAGCAUAACUCUAGCGGCGGACGGGUGAGUAACACGUAGGCAACCUACCAUAUACACAGGGAUACCUAUGGGAAACUAUAGUUAAUACCAGAUAAGAUAGUAAAGUCGCAUGACAAAGCAAUAAAAGACGAAAGUCGGUAUAUGAUGGGCCUGCGUCUGAUUAGCUAGUUGGUGUGGUAAAAGCAUACCAAGGCAACGAUCAGUAGCCGACCUGAGAGGGUGAACGGUCACACUGGGACUGAGACACGGCCCAGACUCCUACGGGAGGCAGCAGUAGGGAAUAUUGCACAAUGGGCGCAAGCCUGAUGCAGCAACGCCGCGUGAAGGAGGAAGGCUUUACGGGUCGUAAACUUCUUUAGGUUGGGAAAAAUAAAAUGAUGGUACCAACAAAAUAAGCCCCGGCUAACUACGUGCCAGCAGCCGCGGUAAU